AACGAACGCUGGCGGCAGGCUUAACACAUGCAAGUCGAACGCACCUUUCGGGGUGAGUGGCAGACGGGUGAGUAACGCGUGGGAAUCUACCCUUCUCUACGGGAUAGCUCCGGGAAACUGGAAUUAAUACCGUAUACGUCCUGAGGGAGAAAGAUUUAUCGGGGAAGGAUGAGCCCGCGUUGGAUUAGCUAGUUGGUGGGGUAAAGGCCUACCAAGGCGACGAUCCAUAGCUGGUCUAAGAGGAUGAUCAGCCACAUUGGGACUGAGACACGGCCCAAACUCCUACGGGAGGCAGCAGUGGGGAAUAUUGGACAAUGGGCGCAAGCCUGAUCCAGCCAUGGCGCGUGAGUGAUGAAGGCCCUAGGGUUGUAAAGCUCUUUCAGUGGGGACGAUAAUGACGGUACCCACAGAAGAAGCCCCGGCUAACUUCGUG
rnacentral:rRNA from 1 species